rnacentral:rRNA from 1 species
AAUCAACGCUGGCGGCGUGCCUAACACAUGCAAGUCGGAACGAGAAAGGGUAGCAAUACCUGAGUACAGUGGCGCACGGGUGAGUAACACGGUGACUAACCUACCCUGGAGUGGGGGAUAACUGGGAGAAAUCCUGGCUAAUACCGCAUAAUACCUACGGGUCAAAGGAGCAAUUCGCUUCAGGAGGGGGUCGCGGCCGAUUAGUUAGUUGGCGGGGUAAUGGCCCACCGAAGACGAUGGAUCGGUAUCCGGCCUGAGA